rnacentral:lncRNA from 1 species
UUCUGUGAUUAACUUUAUAUAAUUUUAGAGACUUCCCGUCUUUGCUUGCUUCAACUUUCUUCCCAACAGAAUGAAGAUGAGAGCACCUGUCCUAAAGGACUUGGCAGAGUAAUUUCAGCCUACUUUAUCACUACUGUGACCAGCCAGGAGCUGAAAGAUGUCAUUUCACUAAUCUUCUAGGUGCAUAUGAAUGGUUUUGAGAGCUUAAGAGUUUCUGGUGACUGUAGGAAGAGCAGAGGCUAGCUGUAGAAUUGAGAACACAAGAGGCUGUAAGCCAGGAGAUCAAGAAUAGAGUCUCACGCAGGAUGAAAGCUUUAAACUAAGCCCAAAUCAAGGUCAGAGCAGCACAGUAAAGGGCUAGAACACAGAGGGAUGUUCACACAACCCAGUCAAUUUGCUAGGUCAAGGAAUGGGUAAAGUGGGUCGCUAGGCUACCUUCAAAGCUUUCAGUAUCUGGGAAGCACACAAAGUCGCUCAUUUAUUCAUGUGUUUUCUAUUUUAUAAUUUUCUUCCAUUUAGUCAACAAAGAAUCAUGUGUCUUAAGACUGUGUCAGUGCUAUUCUAGCAACUUGGAAUAGAACAAUAGCCAGGGUCUCUUCUCUAGACAUCUUGCAGUCCCAGGGGGCACAGACAAGGAGGAUAAACAGACUGGAAUUAAACAAUGAUACAUUGUGUUGUGACAAGUAUCAUAAAAAUGGAAUCUGGAGGUUGCUUCAUAAGUAACCUGCAUUCAUUUUAGGUGAAGUAGUCAAAAAGGACUCUUCUCAUCCUUUUUUUUUUUUUUUUUUUUUAAUAAAACAACUUCAUUCUGAAAGUUUCAAAUUGCAGAAAAUGAAAGCAUAGAAUACUUGUAUGGCAGCCAUACAGACUUAGAAAUUGUUCACAUUUUGCCUGAACCAUUUGAAGAAAAUCUGUGAGAAUUGUGGAGCUUCCUUCCUAAAUAUUUUAGUACUUAGUUCAUAAAAGGAAAAUUCUUCUGCCCACCUCCGUAUCAUUAUUAUAAGCAAGAAAUAUAAUAUUUAGGCAGUUAAAUCAGACAAUAAUAGAUUUUAGACUUAGUGGGACAAGACCUAAAGUUAAUAAACUAUAGAUACCCAUAAAGUCAAAUAAAAACCAAAUUAUUUUGUUUAUAUUGAUGAUAUUAAAAUAUGAUUGUAUUAUUUGUAAUACAUUUUUCUUUUUUCUUUUUUUCCCAUCCUUGCUUCCUGACUUGGCGUUGCAUGCAUGAUUUUGCAUGUGUUUGCAUGAGGAGACCCAACGUUGAUACCAGGAGUGGUCCUCAGUUGCUCAAACACCUCACUCAUCAAGGAAAGACCUCACAAACCCAGAGCUUGAUGGUUAUCCAUGCUCACUAGCUUUCUCUGAAGAUUCCCUGCCCCAGGUUCCCAGGGAUGGAGUUGUAUGAGGAUGCCACAUCCAUCUGACCUUCAUCAUGGUUUCUGAAGAUCCAAGUUCUUACAUUUGGGGGACAAGGAUUAUUUCCCUAGCCCUCAAAUGUUCCUCUAUGGAUACUGGUCGAUGGUAAGGCAUUACACAUUUCAUAUAUUUAAAAAAAAAAAAAAACACAGCUACUC